CCUGGUUGAUUCUGCCAGUAGUCAUAUGCUUGUCUCAAAGAUUAAGCCAUGCAUGUCUAAGUAUAAGCAACUAUACUGUGAAACUGCGAAUGGCUCAUUAAAUCAGUUAUCGUUUAUUUGAUAGUACCUUACUACAUGGAUAACCGUGGUAAUUCUAGAGCUAAUACAUGCUAAAAACCUCGACUUCGGAAGGGGUGUGUUUAUUAGAUAAAAAACCAAUGCCCUUCGGGGCUCCCUGGUGAUUCAUAAUAACCUAACGAAUCGCAUGGCCUUGUGCCGGCGAUGGUUCAUUCAAAUUUCUGCCCUAUCAACUUUCGAUGGUAGGAUAGUGGCCUACCAUGGUUUCAACGGGUAACGGGGAAUUAGGGUUCUAUUCCGGAGAAGGAGCCUGAGAAACGGCUACUACAUCCAAGGAAGGCAGCAGGCGCGCAAAUUACCCAAUCCCGACACGGGGAGGUAGUGACAAUAAAUACUGAUACAGGGCUCUUUUGAGUCUUGUAAUUGGAAUGAGUACAAUUUAAAUCCCUUAACGAGGAACAAUUGGAGGGCAAGUCUGGUGCCAGCAGCCGCGGUAAUUCCAGCUCCAAUAGCGUAUAUUAAAGUUGUUGCAGUUAAAAAGCUCGUAGUUGAACCUUGGGCCUGGCUGACCGGUCCGCCUCACCGCGUGCACUGGUUCGGCCGGGCCUUUCCUUCUGGGGAGCCGCAUGCCCUUCACUGGGUGUGUCGGGGAACCAGGACUUUUACUUUGAAAAAAUUAGAGUGUUCAAAGCAGGCCUAUGCUCGAAUACAUUAGCAUGGAAUAAUAGAAUAGGACGUGUGGUUCUAUUUUGUUGGUUUCUAGGACCGCCGUAAUGAUUAAUAGGGAUAGUCGGGGGCAUCAGUAUUCAAUUGUCAGAGGUGAAAUUCUUGGAUUUAUUGAAGACUAACUACUGCGAAAGCAUUUGCCAAGGAUGUUUUCAUUAAUCAGUGAACGAAAGUUAGGGGAUCGAAGACGAUCAGAUACCGUCGUAGUCUUAACCAUAAACUAUGCCGACUAGGGAUCGGGCGAUGUUAUCUUUUUGACUCGCUCGGCACCUCACGAGAAAUCAAAGUUUUUGGGUUCUGGGGGGAGUAUGGUCGCAAGGCUGAAACUUAAAGAAAUUGACGGAAAGGCACCACCAGGCGUGGAGCCUGCGGCUUAAUUUGACUCAACACGGGGAAACUCACCAGGUUAACCACGGUUGUUACGACCUCUGGGCCUGGAAAAGAAGGGGGGUGGCCCACCUCUCUCU
rnacentral:rRNA from 1 species